rnacentral:rRNA from 1 species
UACGUAGGGGGCAAGAGUUGUCCGGAAUCAUUGGGCGUAAAGAGCGUGUAGGCGGCCCGGUAAGUCCGCUGUAAAAGUCAAAGGCUUAACCUUUGAAUGUCAGUGGAUACUGCCGGGCUAGAGUCCGGAAGAGGCGAGUGGAACUCCUGGUGUAGCGGUGGAAUGCGCAGAUAUCAGGAAGAACACCAACGGCGAAGGCAGCUCGCUAGGACGGUACUGACGCUGAGACGCGAAAGCGUGGGGAGCGAACAGG